rnacentral:rRNA from 1 species
UACGUAGGGGGCGAGCGUUGUCCGGAGUUACUGGGCGUAAAGGGCAUGCAGGCGGUCGGACGCGUUUUGUGUGACAGCGGGUGGCUUAACUACCCGAGCAUGCGAAAGACGGUUGGACUUGAGGGCUCGAGAGGGACACGGAAUUCCGGGUGUAGUGGUGGAAUGCGUAGAGAUCCGGAGGAACACCAGCGGCGAAGGCGGCAUCCUGGACUGGUCCUGACACUCAGGAGCGAAAGCGUGGGGAGCGAUCCGG